AUGAGCUUGGCUUCCCUUCAGAAAGUAGCUGAUUCUUGUACUCUACAGCUGUAUUUUCCUACAGUUACUAAUAAUACUAGAGAUUCUGCCAUUGGGACUGCUCUGAUGUUUCCAUUCUCUCCUGCUUAUGACCAUAGAGCCUUGUCCCAGUCUCUAGACCUGCCUGUCUGUGUGGUGGAUGACCACCUGACCUCUGAAGCUGUCAAUGAGAUGGAGCAGAGCAAUUCUACCAGGAGCAGAGCAACCUCAGUGAUGGAAACCACAGAAAAUCAGAAGCUCAACAAUGUGGAACAUCUGACACUUAUGGACUUCCUUCAAAACCUAACUGAGAAGCAAUGGAGGGGGAUUCGUGAGGGCAUGUUUGACCCGGUAAGAUCAUGUUACUGACAAUUUAAUCAGAUUACCAUGAAAACUCUGCCUAAUGUUUAACCUUGUUCAUAAGCUUUUGAAAGACGCACUAUGCAACAUUUUAAAACACUUCUUCUGUUUCUGGAAUACAGCUGACAAAACAACAGCUUGCCGGCUUGUGUCUGAGGAUUGUCC
rnacentral:lncRNA from 13 species